UCCGUAGGUGAACCUGCGGAAGGAUCAUAGUAAUCGUCUUUGACGUUCGCUUUUCCCUCGUCCUCGGGACAUUAAGGUGCUCUGGUCGAGGAUAAACGACCCCUCUGACCGAGGUCAAACCCGUCGCUCUGUGUUACCUCUAAAAAUUUUUUUUCCGAGGCACACCUUAAAGAUCGUUCCGCAUUGCGAGUCUAACACCAGUUGUAUAAACUUUUUACAACCGGUAGCGCUGGAUCCCUUGGCACGUCAUUCGAUGAAGACCGUUGCAAAUUGCGAUAAAGUGAUGUGAUGCGCAAGUCCACCACUUAUACGUGAAUCAUCGAGUUGUUGAACGCAUUGCACCGCGCCCUAAUCCGGCUGCGGUAUGCCCCUUUGAGCGUCAUUGUAUUCCUUCGGGAGUCCUUUUACAAGGACCCGAGUUCGGAGUCCUCGGUCCCCUGUGGAUCGUGUUCUCUCAGAUCCCUCGCACCGAUCGCCUGAUGCGUCCUCUAAUGCCUAAGCGUGGAGUUCCUUCAGAGUCCGAGAGGUGCUUGACCGAGUCUUGAGCUCGUGUCACCAAGUCUGCCUAACAGCAGUACUACAACGCAUGACCUCAUUGGGGUAGGACAACCCGCUAGACUUAAGCAUAUUAAUCAGCGGAGGAAAAGAAACUAACCAGGAUUCCCUCAGUAACUGCGAGUGAAGCGGGAUCGGCUCAAUGUGUGAAUCUGGCGG
rnacentral:rRNA from 1 species